GAUGAAGAACGCAGCGAAAUGCGAUAAGUAAUGUGAAUUGCAGAAUUCAGUGAAUCAUAGAAUCUUUGAACGCACCUUGCACCCUUUGGACUGCUCCAAAGGGUAUGCUCGUUUGAGUGUCAUUGUACUCUCACACUCUCUGAUCCUUUGGAUUUGGGGAGCAGUGGACUUGGGUGCUUGCUGCUUCCUUGUGGCUCACCUGAAAUGCAUCAGUGCAUCUCUCGAUUGGACAUAGUACGGCGUGAUAAGUGUCUUCGCCGGCACCUCAUAUGAGGGUGGCCGAUCGGGAGCUCUGUGCUUUCAAACCGUCUUCGGACAACGCUGACAACUUGACCUCAAAUCGAGUAGGACUACCCGCUGAACUUAAGCAUAUCAAUAAGCGGAGGA
rnacentral:misc_RNA from 1 species